rnacentral:misc_RNA from 1 species
GAUGAAGAACGUAGCGAAAUGCGAUAAGUAAUGUGAAUUGCAGAAUUCAGUGAAUCAUCGAAUCUUUGAACGCACAUUGCGCCCCCUGGUAUUCCGGGGGGCAUGCCUGUUCGAGCGUCAUUUCACCACUCAAGCCUCGCUUGGUAUUGGGCAACGCGGUCCGCCGCGUGCCUCAAAUCGACCGGCUGGGUCUUCUGUCCCCUAAGCGUUGUGGAAACUUUCGCUAAAGGGUGUUCGGGAGGCUACGCCGUAAAGCAACCCCAUUUCUAAGGUUGACCUCGGAUCAGGUAGGGAUACCCGCUGAACUUAAGCAUAUCAAUAAGCGGAGGA